rnacentral:lncRNA from 1 species
UCUUAAUUCUUAGCUUUUAGAAAAGAGAAAUUUAGUGAAUAGGUAUUAGUUUGUUUGUUUGCUUCAAUUUUUCUACAUUGCACGUGAAUCUACUUUAUGAUGUUGUUCUCUUUACUUUAAGAAAUAAUAUAUCUUGUCAUUGGUUGGCUAAAAAAAAAAAAAAAAAAAAGAAAGCAAGAAGAUGAUAAGAGUCAUAAAGAUUGGUUCCCCGUAAAACAUGGGUGCAAAAUUUUCUUGUAUGGGACCUUUCCUUUCUAAUAAUUUUAUGGCAUUAUUGCUAAGCCAGCUGCCAAAGAGAAUUAUUUUCUCCUUAUAUAACAUUAGUAUGGCCAUAAGAGAGUAAGAGAAAACUCAGAUUUAAGUUAGAAAAUACUUUUACGUUUGUGAAGGAGAGCAAGUAAGAGUGACAGCCUAGGAGUAUCAAGAGUGAAGAAAUCCUUGCAGGAGAAGAGGUUAGGGGAGCUAACUCUUCUUGAUGCAUGAUAAUUGUAUAAUUAUGGUUUUUGAUUUUGCUAUGAGUAUGUUGGAUCUUGUANUGUUAGUCUACAUGUUUAUCUGUAUAGGUUUUGAUCAUCAUUGACUAUGCUCUUUGUAUUUUCCAUUUUUGGAGUUACCAAAAUAAAACCUUAAUCCGAAAUUCGUUUACCGUUAGAUUAAGCUCAAAUUUUGAUAUAUGAUUCCUGAGAUAAAUUAUUAUGAUUUAACCGUUCAGAUUUGUGAUUAAAGUUCUGUAUUGAGAGAAAUUGAUUUCGUAACUUUGAAUAGAGACAUCACUAUUUGAUUUAUGCUGCUAAGUUCACAUGGUAAAAUAUAAAUUCCUGCCUAGUGAACCAUUAGAUUGAUCCAAAAGUUUGAUAUAUGGACCAUAAGACAUAUUAAUUUGCUUUGACCGUUCGGAUUUUUAUUUUGAGAUCUUUAAUUAGAGGAAGAAAUUUCACAUGUUGGAAUAAGUUACUAAUCACCUUAUUUUCUGCUACUAAGUCUCCUCGGGAAAACAUGAAUUAUAGUCAAUUCAACCGUUGGAUUGGUCCAGAAUUUUUGAUAUAUGAUUAAUAAGACUUAUAUUGUUAAUUGGACCGUUCGGAUUAUUAAUCUAAUGUCCCAAGUUAGAGAUAUAGAUUUCGGAUUGUUAAUUUGAGGUACCUGAUUUUUAGCUUAGUUCUAUCUUUAAACCAUCUAAGGAAAAGAAUUAUGAGAUUCACUUCAUCAACCGUUGGAUCAAACCGAAAAAUUUAUUACAGAAUUUAGAAAUAUAUUGUUUUAGUUUUGACCAGAAGGAUCUUCAAUAGGAAGUCAGAAGCUAUAAUGAAUACACUUAUAGCGUUCCAAUAAUCUUAAGUGUUUGAUAACCUGGACUUUUAUUGUUGGUUAGUAUUGUAAAUUUUACUGCAGUUAGUACAGUUAUCCAAAAAAUACGUAUCUGGUGUCUAGAGAAAGCCUUUUGAGUCUAGAACCCAAUAAAACAAGAAUCAUCUCAUUCAGAGUUAUGUAGAGAGAGUUAUGAAUAAAACAAUAAGCAAAGGUCAAGGCUGAAAAUUAUCAGAACGUGAGUAAAUUUACGAUUUUUAAUAAUUUUACUGAGGCUAGCCCUGUUGACCAAAAAUUACGAGUUUGGUGUCCAAAGAAAGAUAUUUGAGUCUAGAAUCCAAUAAAACAAGAAUCAACGCAUUCGGAGUUCUGUAGAAGAAAUUAUGAAUAAAACACUGAGCAAAGGUCGUUUUGACAGCAAUCAAUUUUACAAGGGUAAUUAUGUUGUUAAUGAAAAAUAUGAUGUUUUCUGAGAGAGGGAUUUUUGAGUAUUUGAAAAAUCAACUAGUUGAUAUAGAAAUAAACAGAUGAAAAUGGGAAAGAACGAGAAGAGUUAGUAAUUUCUGAGAAAUCAGAAAUUUGUGGACCCAUGUGGGAUCCACUUGGAUGAGUUAGUAAAUUUUUAUUUUGUGGUGGGUUAAAAUUAUUAAAUAAUGAGGAGUGACACAUUGUUGAGGUGUUAAGCCUUGUUUAUCAACGUUUUUGCUCAUUCAUGUUAUUGAGAACAUGUGAGCGUUCGUGAUUGAGCACGGUUGCUUCGUUGGCUUACUUCUGUUCGAUGGAUACAUGUUAUUGAGAGCAUGUAAUUAGUUCGUGAUUGAGCACGGUUUAUUGAGUUCGUUGGUGUAGUUCACGUAAAUCAUACUAUUCGCUUGUAUUUUCGUCAAACGAGUAUCAUACUAAUAAAUUCUAGUCUCGCCAGAGAUUAGAGAUUCGAGUGUCACUUCCUUCUGCGCGAGGAGGUGAAUGUCUCGCCUAUGACUUUGGCUCGUGCUGAGUAUAGUGCAUCGGUGUGCGUAAUAUCGAUGUUUUUACUCGUUAGUCCUUGAGGAGUUAAGGGAGACAGAUUUGAUGUUGCGAUUGAAGACGACUCGAAUAGUGUGCUAUUGAGAGCAGCUCGUGUUGACAAAAUACAAAGAAAUGAUUGUUCCAAUAAAGGAAAAUCAACUGUUAUUGAGAACAGUAUAUGACAAACAAGGAAAAAGACAUUAGAGUACGAAAGGCUAAAUUAUGAUGUUAUGUUUUGCGUCGAAAUAUAAAGAUAUGAAUCGUCAUAAUGUGUAUGAAAUUUAUAAUUUGAUUUUUUUUUUUUAUAUCAUGACAUUUCGAGUUGCUCACCCUUGCAUGUUGUGGUUGUGGUUUCCACCUGCGAUGAUCGUACUUGUACGGGAGUAGAUGAUAGUGCAGAUAAUAUUGGAACGGAGUAGCUCGACGAGAGUGCUGGGGAAUAAAAUUUAUCGGGUUUUCUUUAUGAUGUAUUUACUAGUGUGUUGAAUUCUAUCGUUGUAAAAGACUAUUUAUAAUCACUUCGAUACGGUGUAAAAGCGUAUAGUGUGUUUAUGAAUUUGCUUCCGCAUUUUAAAUAAGAAUAAACAUGUUGGGAUUUGAAUAUUUUAUAUAAUUUAGUACCUUGAUUUAUUAUAAGUAGCAUCCUAUUAGGGGUGUUACA